GGCAGACGGGUGAGUAACGCGUGGGAAUGUACCCUUUAGUUCAGAAUAACUACGGGAAACUGUAGCUAAUACUGGAUAAGCCCUUCGGGGGAAAGAUUUAUCGCUAAAGGAACAGCCCGCGUUAGAUUAGGUAGUUGGUGAGGUAAAAGCUCACCAAGCCGACGAUCUAUAGCUGGUUUGAGAGGAUGAUCAGCCACACUGGGACUGAGACACGGCCCAGACUCC
rnacentral:rRNA from 1 species